AUUGAACGCUGGCGGCAGGCCUAACACAUGCAAGUCGAGCGGAUGAAGGGAGCUUGCUCCUGGAUUCAGCGGCGGACGGGUGAGUAAUGCCUAGGAAUCUGCCUGGUAGUGGGGGAUAACGUCCGGAAACGGGCGCUAAUACCGCAUACGUCCUGAGGGAGAAGGUGGGGGAUCUUCGGACCUCACGCUAUCAGAUGAGCCUAGGUCGGAUUAGCUAGUUGGUGGGGUAAAGGCCUACCAAGGCGACGAUCCGUAACUGGUCUGAGAGGAUGAUCAGUCACACUGGAACUGAGACACGGUCCAGACUCCUACGGGAGGCAGCAGUGGGGAAUAUUGGACAAUGGGCGAAAGCCUGAUCCAGCCAUGCCGCGUGUGUGAAGAAGGUCUUCGGAUUGUAAAGCACUUUAAGUUGGGAGGAAGGGCAGUAAGUUAAUACCUUGCUGUUUUGACGUUACCAACAGAAUAAGCACCGGCUAACUGCGU
rnacentral:rRNA from 1 species